UACGGGGGGGGCAAGCGUUGUUCGGAAUUACUGGGCGUAAAGCGUGCGCAGGCGGUUUUGUAAGUUUGUCGUGAAAGCCCCGGGCUCAACCUGGGAAUGGCGAUGAAGACUGCAAGGCUUGAAUCUGGCAGAGGGGGGUAGAAUUCCACGUGUAGCAGUGAAAUGCGUAGAGAUGUGGAGGAACACCGAUGGCGAAGGCAGCCCCCUGGGUCAAGAUUGACGCUCAUGCACGAAAGCGUGGGGAGCAAACAGG
rnacentral:rRNA from 1 species